rnacentral:rRNA from 1 species
CCUACGGGUGGCUGCAGUGGGGAAUAUUGGACAAUGGGGGGAACCCUGAUCCAGCCAUGCCGCGUGUGUGAAGAAGGCCCUCGGGUUGUAAAGCACUUUCAGUGAGGAAGAACGCCUGGUGGUUAAUACCCAUCAGGAAAGACAUCACUCACAGAAGAAGCACCGGCUAACUCCGUGCCAGCAGCCGCGGUAAUACGGAGGGUGCGAGUAUUAAUCGGAAUUACUGGGCGUAAAGCGCGCGUAGGUGGCUUGAUAAGCCGGUUGUGAAAGCCCCGGGCUCAACCUGGGAACGGCAUCCGGAACUGUCAAGCUAGAGUGCAGGAGAGGAAGGUAGAAUUCCCGGUGUAGCGGUGAAAUGCGUAGAGAUCGGGAGGAAUACCAGUGGCGAAGGCGGCCUUCUGGACUGACACUGACACUGAGGUGCGAAAGCGUGGGUAGCAAACAGGAUUAGAUACCCGAGUAGUC